rnacentral:rRNA from 1 species
UACGUAGGUGGCUAGCGUUGUCCGGAUUUACUGGGCGUAAAGCGCGCGCAGGUGGUUUCUUAAGUCUGAUGUGAAAGCCCACGGCUCAACCGUGGAGGGUCAUUGGAAACUGGGAGACUUGAGUGCAGAAGAGGAAAGUGGAAUUCCAUGUGUAGCGGUGAAAUGCGUAGAGAUAUGGAGGAACACCAGUGGCGAAGGCGACUUUCUGGUCUGUAACUGACACUGAGGCGCAGAAAGUGCGAGGGGAGC